CAAGCACAAACAAACUCCCGUUCUCUCAAGGUCAGUUUUCUCUCACUCUCUCUCUCUCGCUCUCAUUUCAGAAAAUCAUGUACUUUAAUGCUUAAUUUCAUCUGGUUCGAUGCAUUUAUACUUGUGUAACUGAAAUCAAUGGUGGGGCGGCUUGCAGGGAUUAUGGUAGGAGGGAUGAUCAAGGGCCUGAGUGAUUAUUAGAGAAAUUGCAGGUGGGCAGCUCGUGGCGGAGGAGAUUUUUCCCUUUAAAUUGGUGUCGUCAAGAUUACUGGCUGGACUAUUGACUAUAUUUGUUGUUUCGGUUUCUAUAUUGUUUCGUGUAAUUGAACACGGAGCAAUUGUUGAGGCCCCUGUCCAGGAAAGGGCGG
rnacentral:lncRNA from 1 species